rnacentral:rRNA from 1 species
GACGAACGCUGGCGGCGUGCUUAACACAUGCAAGUCGAACGGAAAGGCCCUGCUUUUGUGGGGUGCUCGAGUGGCGAACGGGUGAGUAACACGUGAGUAACCUGCCCUUGACUUUGGGAUAACUUCAGGAAACUGGGGCUAAUACCGGAUAGGGGCUCCUGCUGCAUGGUGGGGGUUGGAAAGUUUCGGCGGUUGGGGAUGGACUCGCGGCUUAUCAGCUUGUUGGGGGGGUAGUGGCUUACCAAGGCUUUGACGGGUAGCCGGCCUGAGAGGGUGACCGGCCACAUUGGGACUGAGAUACGGCCCAGACUCCUACGGGAGACAGCAGUGGAGAAUAUUGCACAAUGGGCGGAAGCCUGAUGCAGCAACGCCGCGUGCGGGAUGACGGCCUUCGGGUUGUAAACCGCUUUCGCCUGUGACGAAGCGUGAGUGACGGUAAUGGGUAAAGAAGCACCGGCUAACUACGUG